ACAGCAUCUAUAUAUGGUUGCGCAUCGUUCAUUGACGUGGUCAAUCCAACAAUACGUCACAUAACUCAAUUUCGACCCUCCACAUUAAUGAAUAUAGUACACACAUGGCAAAACUGCUAUCCUAUACGGAUGCAAUCGAUUAACAUUAUCAACGCGCCAACAUUUUUUGAUGUUAUUAUCAGGAUUAUGAAAUCUUUCAUGACGGCCAAAUUGAAAAACAGAUUUCACGUCUAUUCGCACAUGUCGCUGAGCUGUUUUAAGGAUGUCCCAACAGAUAUCUUGCCAAUCGAGUAUGGCGGCACUGAUGGUACAAUUCAGGAAUUAACUGAUUAUUGGAAGAAAUUGAUAGAAGAAAAUCGCGAUUGGAUUAUGAGUGAUGAGAAUAACAAAAUCGAAUGACAUUUUGGAGCAGUGGAUUUAAAAUCGGCAACAAAUAAUUGCUCUUAAAAUAUGCUUGGAUGUAUUUAUUAUAAUAUUUUAUUGUUAGUAAUGUAAGACGAAUUUUGUUUGUUUUGUAAGUUUUGCGAAAAAAAUUAUCUUUCUUUAUCUUUAUUUUAGGGUAAUUCUAUCAAUGACACAAUACUAGAUACUGAAUAAAAUAUAAAAUUGUUAGAAAAGAUAAUAGUGUAUCAUUAGUUUAUAUUAUUAAAUUACAUAAAGGCGAACCAAAAAUUUAUCUCUUUCUUUGUACUAACAGUAAAAGAAUCUGUUGUAAUUUAUUUCUUCUAUAUUUAUAUAUUUAUAUAUGUAUAUAUGUAUAUUUUUUAAUUAUCUAUUUUAUAUGCCUUGUCAAUAUAAUAUUAUGUGUAAAUAAUGAUAUACAUAACUAUAUUUGUCCAUAUGACA